rnacentral:rRNA from 1 species
UACGGAGGGGACUAGCGUUGUUCGGAAUUACUGGGCGUAAAGCGCACGUAGGCGGAUUUGUAAGUCAGGGGUGAAAUCCCGGGGCUCAACCCCGGAACUGCCUUUGAUACUGCGAAUCUCGAGUCCGGAAGAGGUGAGUGGAAUUCCGAGUGUAGAGGUGAAAUUCGUAGAUAUUCGGAAGAACACCAGUGGCGAAGGCGGCUCACUGGACGACUGUUGACGCUGAGGUGCGAAAGCGUGGGGAGCAAACAGG